AAAGAAAAGAAAAACUCACGUGCUGAAGAUGGUUGACGGCAAAGAUAGAAAACACCCAAAUACUUGAUGAUAUCAUUGAGCUGCUGUACCAUGCUUGGAACUGCCUAUCUCCAGACUUUGUUGGGGGAAGCCAGCUGCUGUGUUAGAAGUUUGACUUCUCAGACUUACUGCCUGUGAAAAGCCCAACCAACCAUGUGAAGAAGAACUGAGGUUUGGGCCAACAGCCUCAGUUGAACUCCCAGCCAGCAGUCAACACCAACUUUUGCCAGCCACGUGAAGAAGGCCAUUUAAAAAGUGGAUUCUCCAGCCCACUGGAGCCGCCUCAGGUGACUGCGUGUGGAGCAAAGAAAGGCUAUUUGAGCCCACAUUGCAAAAUUACAAGCAAAUAAAUAAAAUUAUUGUAGUUUUAAGCCACUAAGUUGUUCAAUAAUAGAUAGCUAAAAUGUACAGGCAAACUUGGAAGAUACUGUGGGUUGGGUUCCAGACCACUACAAUAAAGCCAAUAUCAUAAUAAAGUGAGUCAUAGGGAUUUUUUUGUUUUGCAGUGCAUAUAAAAGUUAUGUUAGGCUGGCAUGGUGGCUCAG
rnacentral:lncRNA from 1 species